UGGGGAAUAUUGCACAAUGGGCGGAAGCCUGAUGCAGCAACGCCGCGUGAGGGAUGACGGCCUUCGGGUUGUAAACCUCUUUUAGCAGGGAAGAAGCGAGAGUGACGGUACCUGCAGAAAAAGCACCGGCUAACUACGUGCCAGCAGCCGCGGUAAUACGUAGGGUGCAAGCGUUAUCCGGAAUUAUUGGGCGUAAAGAGCUCGUAGGCGGUUUGUCGCGUCUGCUGUGAAAUCCCGAGGCUCAACCUCGGGCCUGCAGUGGGUACGGGCAGACUAGAGUGCGGUAGGGGAGAUUGGAAUUCCUGGUGUAGCGGUGGAAUGCGCAGAUAUCAGGAGGAACACCGAUGGCGAAGGCAGAUCUCUGGGCCGUAACUGACGCUGAGGAGCGAAAGGGUGGGGAGCAAACA
rnacentral:rRNA from 1 species